rnacentral:misc_RNA from 1 species
UCUCUGUGUAUCAUGAUGGAUCAUUGAAGAGAGGCAUGUCUUUGCCAGUUGAAUCAAGUAGACCUACUGCCACAGGAAGGAACAUUGGUUCUUUAACUGGUUGCCCUGGAGUUGGAGGUACCUCUUGACUAAACUUCAAGGAGAAAGUACGAGCUUCAGCAUUGUAGGAUGAUGUAACUUUCACAAGAGGUGUACCAGCUUGGGAGUACCAUUGUAAGAAAUUAGCAAAAUCUGCAUCAUUCGCAUCUCGCAUGGCAGCAAAGAAGUCUUCACAGGUUACAGCUUGGCCAUCAUGCCUCUUAAAAUAAAGAUUCAUGCCCUUUCUGAAACCUUGACUCCCCAACAAGGUUUUGUACAUCCUGACAACUUCAGCUCCCUUUUCAUAAACCGUGACAGUGUAGAAGUUAUCCAUCUUGAUGUAAGAAUGUGGACGCACAGGAUGAGCCAUGGGACCAGCAUCCUGUGGAAACUGAUAAUUUCGAAGCUUUGAAACAUCAGCUAUCCUCUUUACAGUACGGCUUCCCAUGUCUGACGAAAAUUCCUGAUCCCGGAAUA